UACGGGGGGGGGCAAGCGUUGUUCGGAAUUACUGGGCGUAAAGGGCUCGUAGGCGGCCAACUAAGUCAUACGUGAAAUCCCCAGGCUCAACCCUGGGAACUGCGUCUGAUACUGGUUGGCUUGAAUCCGGGAGAGGGAUGCAGAAUUCCAGGUGUAGCGGUGAAAUGCGUAGAUAUCUGGAGGAAUACCGGUGGCGAAGGCGGCAUCCUGGACCGGCAUUGACGCUGAGGAGCGAAAGCCAGGGGAGCAAACGGG
rnacentral:rRNA from 1 species